GUCGACAACUCUCCCAAGGACACGGAGAAUAACUUGGUACAUGUCUUAAGGAAAAACUCAUACAAAAGGGCAAUACUAUUUCCUUACAACUUCGCGUUUCACUAUAUCCUGCUAGUCAUUGAACCCGACACCGGGAUAGUAGAAGUCAUGGACUCGAAGAGUAAACCCCUUGAGGCGUGGGGGGACAUGGCUGAUAUCCUCCACAAGGCUUGGAAACGGUUCACCAACAAAGCUCCGGGUUUAAAGAAUAAAGAUCUUCGAAUAAAACAUGUACCGGUAAGUACUAAUGGCUAGGCCGCGCAUCUCUUUGAUUCUAGUUUCAAUACAAUUAUUAUCAUCCUUGAUUAUAUAUAUAUUAUUUUGAUUGAACUUUGUUCUCGUAAAGUGCUUGAGGCAAGAGGACGGGAAUAAUUUAUGCGGGUUCUACGUUUGCGAGUUCAUCCGCCAGAAUACCCAUCAUGUGAGGGACAUUUUGGAACAACUUGAUAUCGAACGGUUGCGGGACGGUCUUCUAGCAACAGAGCGUGUACGAGCAAUUCAAGAAGAACUGGCGGGGUUCUUACUUGAGCAAGUCAUAGCUCCAGAUGGAGAACACUAUGUGGACAACCGCCAAUAUCAAUGUUGAUGUAGACAUAUAUAUAUAUAUGCAUGAACGUGUGUCACUUUGAUCGAUAUAUGUAAUACAAUGGUUUCCUAUAUAUAUAUAUGUGAAUUGUCUGCAUUAAUAUUAUACCGUAUUUCGAAUGGGGCAGAG